UUUACAUACAGUACACCAGUCAGAAAUAUACAGUGAGCCUUCCAAGAAGGGCUGUCAGGUACAAAAAAAUAAUAAUCUGCAAUUCAAAGCAACAGAUUUUCACUCGAAAAAAAAACUAAUUGCAUUUGAACCGUGCGCGCGUGUGUGACUGUGAGUGUGUGUACCUUGGACUGUGGCGUGUUGUUCACUUUAGUGUCGGGGUCUGCGGCGGUGUGACGCUACAGUGAGACAGUGGGGUAGUGAGGUAGCCCGUCUCCGGCUGCCAUUGUUACCUGCUGUCCCCCCUCUCCCAAUCCCGGGAGGACGGGUCCAAAAACACGAGCACCAAAUAUAGACACACUCCGAUACCGCUCUCCCUGACCCAUCGCGCUCCAGGCCUUAUCCUCCAUCGCGGUCGCCAUAGUAACCGUCCUGGCGUGGACCAUACACACCGGUCGGUGUGUUGGCUCAGAGGUUUAAUGACGGUUUGGUGUGUGUUUGGGGGGGUGUUACGGCAGGAAAGACGCUGCACCUCUGACCCCCGCUGGCUGUGGUCUCUGAUCCUAUAGAUAUAAUAGAUAUGACAGAUAUAGCUGCUUAUAUAGAUAUAGGUAUACUGUGAUAUAUGGAGUUGUAUAGAGAUAUAGAGACAGGGAUAUACAUCUUCCUCUGAAUGCGUCGCUUCUGAGCUUGCAUUGGGAAAUCCUUGUAGUAAGAAAAAAAUGAAUAAACACAUUGGCAGGGAAAGUUGGAUCGAGACCACGUCGGGACCGGCGGGUCUGAAGAGGACUGUGGGUCCGGCCUGGCUACUCAGUCUGCGGCCGAGGAAGUAAUCCACGCGAUUGGAGUUUACUCCGUUAGUGCUUCAGGUUGCGCCACCAGUAGAAACCUGAACUCUUAAUAAUCAAAGCUGUGCUCAGCAG